UCCAAGGAUCAUCCGGGCAGGGUUAGUCGGCCCCUAAGGCGUAGCUGAAAGGCGAAGUCGAUGGGAAACGGGCUAAUAUUCCCGUACCUUCAACGAGGAGCAGUGCCGGGACGGAGAAGGCUAGGCCAGCCACCUGAUGGAUGGUGGUUCAAGGUAGUAGGCUGGGGUUGUAGGAAUAAAACGCGACCCCUUAAGGCCGAGAACUGAUGACGGAGUGUCUUCGGACAUGAAGUGGUUGAUGCCAGGCUUCCAAGAAAAGCGGCGGGCUGCGUUGAGACGUUGAAGACCGUACCCCAAACCGACUCAGGUGGGUAGGUGGAGAACACCAAGGCGCUAGGGAGAACUCGGGUUAAGGAACUAGGCAAAUUGACACCGUAACUUCGGGAUAAGGUGUGCCACUGGUAGGUGAUAGGACUUGCUCCUGGAGCCGAAGGUGGUUGCAACAAAGCGGCGGUAGCGACUGUUUACCAAAAACACAGGUCUCUGCGAAACCGUAAGGUGACGUAUAGGGACUGACGCCUGCCCGGUGCUGGAAGGUUAAGAGGAGUCGUUAGCAUUAGCGAAGCGGCGAAUUGAAGCCCCAGUAAACGGCGGCCGUAACUAUAACGGUCCUAAGGUAGCGAAAUUCCUUGUCGGGUAAGUUCCGACCUGCACGAAAGGCGUAACGACUUCCGCGCUGUCUCGACCCGAGACCCUGUGAAAUCGACAUUGGGGUGAAGAUGCCCUAUACCCGCAGAAAGACGGAAAGACCCUGUGAACCUUUACUCUAGCUUGACAGUGGCGUUCGAUAUGGUUUGUGUAGGAUAGGUGGGAGGCUUUGAGUCCGGGGCGCUAGUUUCGGAGGAGCCACCGUUGAAAUACCACCCUGAUCAUGUUGGCCGCCUAACCCCUAACGGGAGACACUGUCUGGUGGGGAGUUUGACUGGGGCGGUCGCCUCCCAAACAGUAACGGAGGCGCGCGAAGGUUCUCUCAGGCUGAUUGGAAACCAGCCGUAGAGUGCAAAGGCAUAAGAGAGCUUGACUGCGAGACGGACACGUCGAGCAGGUGCGAAAGCAGGCCUUAGUGAUCCGGCGGUCCCGUGUGGAAGGGCCGUCGCUCAACGGAUAAAAGGUACUCCGGGGAUAACAGGCUGAUCGCGCCCAAGAGUUCACAUCGACGGCGCGGUUUGGCACCUCGAUGUCGGCUCGUCGCAUCCUGGGGCUGGAGCAGGUCCCAAGGGUUUGGCUGUUCGCCAAUUAAAGCGGCACGCGAGCUGGGUUCAGAACGUCGUGAGACAGUUCGGUCCCUAUCUUCUGUGGGCGUUGGAGAGUUGAGAGGCCUUGUCCUUAGUACGAGAGGACCGGGAUGAACGUACCUCUGGUGUUCCGGUUGUUGCGCCAGCAGCAUUGCCGGGUAGCUACGUGCGGAAAGGAUAACCGCUGAAAGUAUUUAAGUGGGAAGCCUGCCUCAAGAUGAGCUCUCCCUGAAGGACCCAGGUAGACUACCUGGUUGAUAGGCAGGGUGUGUAAGCACAGCAAUGUGUUCAGCUAACCUGUACUAAUUGUCCGAUUGAUUUGUUUCA
rnacentral:rRNA from 1 species